AAAAAUAUAAACUAUUAUUAACAAAUACCCCUGCCCCCUUAAUCUUCUUCUUCAUUAUCUCGUUUGUCGGAAAAUUCUUUCGACUAUGGAGCCAGAUCUGCGUCUAGACUAAAUAUAGUCUAGAAUUUGUACAAGCCCGACUUGCUGGAUAUGCUUUUACUGAAUAUUAGUUAGAUCAAGUCUUAAAAUUUCAGAAAGAAAAGCACCAUUCCUUGUUUUCUGCCUUCAACUAUAUGGAGUCGAAUUUCAAAAAAAUAAAAUAAAACCUUAAACUGUGG
rnacentral:lncRNA from 1 species